rnacentral:rRNA from 1 species
UACGUAGGCAGCAAGCGUUGUUCGGAGUUACUGGGCGUAAAGGGUGCGUAGGCGGUUCUAUAAGUAUGGUGUGAAAUCUCCCGGCUUAACUGGGAGGGUGCGCUAUAGACUGUGGGACUAGAGGGUGGGAGAGGAAAGUGGAAUUCCUGGUGUAGCGGUGAAAUGCGUAGAUAUCAGGAGGAACACCGGUGGUGUAAACGGCUUUCUGGACCACUUCUGACGCUGAGGCACGAAAGCGUGGGGAGCAAAAGGG